rnacentral:rRNA from 1 species
AUUGAACGCUGGCGGCAGGCCUAACACAUGCAAGUCGAACGGUAGCACAGAGAGCUUGCUCUCGGGUGACGAGUGGCGGACGGGUGAGUAACGUCUGGGAAACUGCCCGAUGGAGGGGGAUAACUACUGGAAACGGUAGCUAAUACCGCAUAACGUCGCAAGACCAAAGUGGGGGACCUUCGGGCCUCACACCAUCGGAUGUGCCCAGAUGGGAUUAGGUAGUAGGUGGGGUAAUGGCUCACCUAGGCGACGAUCCAUAGCUGGUAUGAGAGGAUGACCAGCCACACUGGAACUGAGACACGGUCCAGACUCCUACGGGAGGCAGCAGUGGGGAAUAUUGCACAAUGGGCGCAAGCCUGAUGCAGCCAUGCCGCGUGUAUGAAGAAGGCCUUCGGGUUGUAAAGUACUUUCAGCGGGGAGGAAGGCGGUGAAGUUAAUAGCUUCACCGAUUGACGUUACCCGCAGAAGAAGCACCGGCUAACUCCGUGCCAGCAGCCGCGGUAA